rnacentral:rRNA from 1 species
GAUGCAGUGUACCCGCGGCAAGACGGAAAGACCCCGUGAACCUUUACUAUAGCUUGACACUGAACAUUGAGCCUUGAUGUGUAGGAUAGGUGGGAGGCUUUGAAGCGUGGACGCCAGUCUGCGUGGAGCCGACCUUGAAAUACCACCCUUUAAUGUUUGAUGUUCUAACGUGGAUCCGUAAUCCGGGUUGCGGACAGUGUCUGGUGGGUAGUUUGACUGGGGCGGUCUCCUCCUAAAGAGUAACGGAGGAGCACGAAGGUUGGCUAAUCCUGGUCGGACAUCAGGAGGUUAGUGCAAUGGCAUAAGCCAGCUUGACUGCGAGCGUGACGGCGCGAGCAGGUGCGAAAGCAGGUCAUAGUGAUCCGGUGGUUCUGAAUGGAAGGGCCAUCGCUCAACGGAUAAAAGGUACUCCGGGGAUAACAGGCUGAUACCGCCCAAGAGUUCAUAUCGACGGCGGUGUUUGGCACCUCGAUGUCGGCUCAUCACAUCCUGGGGCUGAAGUAGGUCCCAAGGGUAUGGCUGUUCGCCAUUUAAAGUGGUACGCGAGCUGGGUUUAGAACGUCGUGAGACAGUUCGGUCCCUAUCUGCCGUGGGCGCUGGAGAACUGAGGGGGGCUGCUCCUAGUACGAGAGGACCGGAGUGGACGCAUCACUGGUGUUCGGGUUGUCAUGCCAAUGGCACUGCCCGGUAGCUAAAUGCGGAAGAGAUAAGUGCUGAAAGCAUCUAAGCACGAAACUUGCCCCGAGAUGAGUUCUCCCUGAGACUUAGAGUCUCCUGAAGGAACGUUGAAGACGACGACGUUGAUAGGCCGGGUGUGUAAGCGCAGCGAUGCGUUGAGCUAACCGGUACUAAUGAACCGUGAGGCUUAACCUUACAACGCCGAAG